GAAUUCCUCAGACCAGACUCCGAUAAAGACACGUCAGAAAUCCUCCAAUAAUAAAACACAUGUACCCUGCCAAUGCAGAAUAUGUGCAGGUUUUUCUUGUGAAAUAUUCCAUUCCUUAUGAAUCUGGAAGGAAAUGGCUAUUCAUGGUACCAGUUCCUCAAACACAAAUUCAAAGCGGAGCUGCACCUCUGGUUCUCGAUGAGCAAGGAGAAUGAUGCUGUCUGAAGAAACUCUAGGAUCCUGUCCCAGAUCUAUGUUAGGGGUAAGUGUAUUCCUAUACAUUAACACAGAGCAUCUCUAACCUGUCCUGAAGCCCCACUAUUUAACUCCAAGAACAAUAAAUAAUAAUAAAUAUAUUGGCAUCCACGAAAAGGGAUGAUAACAUUGUUUAUUUAAGUGGUUGCUGCAGUUAAAUAAUCUGCUGCUUUAAGUGCCUGACCACUUUAUUUCUGAUUAGCUGUCAAUGUUUUUAUUGUUCAGUAAAAGAAAAAUCAGU